GGCAGCAGUGGGGAAUAUUGGGCAAUGGGCGAAAGCCUGACCCAGCGACGCCGCGUGAGGGAAGAAGGUCUUCGGAUUGUAAACCUUAGUUAGCAGGGAAGAAGAAAGUGACGGUACCUGCAGAGAAAGCCACGGCUAACUACGUGCCAGCAAGCCGCGGUAAUACGUAGGUGGCAAGCGUUAUCCGGAUUUACUGGGUGUAAAGGGUGUGUAGGCGGGACGACAAGUCAGAUGUGAAACUCAUGGGCUCAACCCAUGACCUGCAUUUGAAACUGCCGUUCUUGAGAGUCGGAGAGGUAAAUGGAAUUCCCGGUGUAGCGGUGAAAUGCGUAGAUAUCGAGAGGAACACCAGUGGCGAAGGCGAUUUACUGGACGACCACUGACGCUGAGACACGAAAGCGUGGGGAGCAAACAGGAUUAGAUACCCAGGUAGUCCACGCCGUAAACGAUGAAUGGGAGGUGUAGGGGCAUUAAGCUUCUGUGCCGCAGUUAACACAAUAAGCAUUCCACCUGGGGAGUACGGCCC
rnacentral:rRNA from 1 species